rnacentral:rRNA from 1 species
CCUACGGGGGGCUGCAGUGGGGAAUAUUGGACAAUGGGGGCAACCCUGAUCCAGCCAUGCCGCGUGUGUGAAGAAGGCCCUCGGGUUGUGAAGCACUUUCAGUGAGGAAGAACGCCUGGUGGUUAAUACCCAUCAGGAAAGACAUCACUCACAGAAGAAGCACCGGCUAACUCCGUGCCAGCAGCCGCGGUAAUACGGAGGGUGCGAGCGUUAAUCGGAAUUACUGGGCGUAAAGCGCGCGUAGGUGGCUUGAUAAGCCGGUUGUGAAAGCCCCGGGCUCAACCUGGGAACGGCAUCCGGAACUGUCAAGCUAGAGUGCAGGAGAGGAAGGUAGAAUUCCCGGUGUAGCGGUGAAAUGCGUAGAGAUCGGGAGGAAUACCAGUGGCGAAGGCGGCCUUCUGGACUGACACUGACACUGAGGUGCGAAAGCGUGGGUAGCAAACAGGAUUAGAUACCCCUGUAGUC